rnacentral:rRNA from 1 species
AGUGAACGCUGGCGGUAGGCCUAACACAUGCAAGUCGAACGGCAGCACAGUAAGAGCUUGCUCUUACGGGUGGCGAGUGGCGGACGGGCGAGGAAUACAUCGGAAUCUACUUUUUCGUGGGGGAUAACGUAGGGAAACUUACGCUAAUACCGCAUACGACCUACGGGUGAAAGCAGGGGAUCUUCGGACCUUGCGCGAUUGAAUGAGCCGAUGUCGGAUUAGCUAGUUGGCGGGGUAAAGGCCCACCAAGGCGACGAUCCGUAGCUGGUCUGAGAGGAUGAUCAGCCACACUGGAACUGAGACACGGUCCAGACUCCUACGGGAGGCAGCAGUGGGGAAUAUUGGACAAAGGGCGCAAGCCUGAUCCAGCCAUACUGCGUGGGUGAAGAAGGCCUUCGGGUUGUAAAGCCCUUUUGUUGGGAAAGAAAAGCAGCAGGUUAAUACCCCGCUGUUCUGACGGUACCCAAAGAAUAAGCACCGGCUAACUUCGUG